AUGAUUAGACCCGAUGGCAAGUUCUACCUAGGAGAUGCUGGUUAUGCAUGUCGACACGUGUCUUCCACCCUUCAGGAAAACCAGUACCAUCUGAGCGAUUCCUCUGGUGGGAAAUAUCCUAGGACUCCUCAGGAACUGUUCAAUCUCAGAGACUACAACCUUGGAGUUAGGGUUGAGAGGGCAUUUGGACCUCUGAAGAAUGGGUUUAAGAUCCUGCAUCAAAAGCCAUUCCACCCUUACCCGACCCAAAUUAAGCUUGUUCUUUCAUGUUCAAUCCUUUAUAACUAGAUCCUACAAUGGGGUUGUGAUGAACUUGUGCCGGGCGAGGAAGAUAUGAUGCCCGAUGAUGUGGUCAGCUCUGGCCAUGGUGUGGAGACGUUUAACAAUGAAGCGUGGAGAACAAAACAUUGGAGUGGGCUCAGACAACGUAGGAUAGCAGAGGUCAGACGAAGAAGAAGAAGAAGAAGAAGAAGAAGAAGAAGAAGAGGAUGGACUUCCACCUAG
rnacentral:rRNA from 1 species